rnacentral:hammerhead_ribozyme from 1 species
AUUCAGAUGUAGAGCUCCAAAUAGGAUGAAACGUGCGUCCUGGAU